UGCGACGGGUCGAGAAGAUUCUCUGAUUGAUAGAGAUCUAAUUGAUUUUGGCGGCACAAGAUCUUUUGAUCACCUACCGGAAUGUAGGCGUGCUGGACAAGACUUUUGUGGAGAAG
rnacentral:ncRNA from 1 species